AUGUGCUUGGAGUUCGGCUCGUGCUUCGGCGGCCGCAGGCGGGACGACUACGGCGGCCGCGCCCGCAGCAGAGGGGGCGGCUACUGGUCAGCGCCGGUGCCGGCACCGGUGUACCAACAGGAACAGCCGCCCGCCGUCGCCCACGAGGCCUACCACGAAGGCGCGCCGAAAGCCGACCACACCGACGCUGCCGGCAGCCACGCCGCCUACUUGCAAGACAAGGCUGGCAGCGAGACGCCGCCGAGGCACCCCGCAUGGCACAACAAGGUCGCCGACGACGCCUACACGCCGCGCCCCCACGAAGCUGCUGCCCCAGAUCACAGUCACAGGGACAACGCCCCUAUGGAUUACUACCACCACCACCACCCUCGUCAGGUACUAGCUACUAGUCGUUAG
rnacentral:rRNA from 1 species